rnacentral:rRNA from 1 species
UACGUAGGGGGCCAGCGUUGUCCGGAAUCAUUGGGCGUAAAGAGCUCGUAGGCGGUCUGUCGCGUCGGAUGUGAAAACCCAGGGCUCAACCCUGGGCCUGCAUUCGAUACGGGCAGACUAGAGUUCGGUAGGGGAGACUGGAAUUCCUGGUGUAGCGGUGAAAUGCGCAGAUAUCAGGAGGAACACCGGUGGCGAAGGCAGCUCGCUGGGACGUUACUGACGCUGAGACGCGAAAGCGUGGGGAGCAAACAGG